GCUGGGUGCGGUGGCGCACCCCUGUAAUCCCAGCAGCUUGGGAGGCUGAGGCAGGAGGAUGGCAUGUUUGAGGCCAACUCCUAGGCUUAAUGAGAUCCUGUCUCAA
rnacentral:sRNA from 1 species